rnacentral:tRNA from 1 species
ACCUGGGUGGCUCAGUCAGUUAAGCAUCUGACUUCAGCUCAGGUCAUGAUCUCACAGUUUGUGGGUUCAAGCCCCACAUCAGGCU